GUCUGGAAUGAAUGGUUGGAUGAAAAAUUUACUUUCUUUAUUUUAAAUAUAAAAUUUGAUUUUUAAGUUAAAAAGCUUAAAUGUUAUUAAAGGACGAGAAGACCCUAUAGAACUUUAUUCUAUUAUUUUUAUAUUUUAGUUUGAUAAUAAUUAAUAUUUAAUUAUACUAUAAUUGUGUUGGGGUGACAAAAAAAAAUUAAUAACUUUUUUUAUUUAGAUCAUUUUUUUAUGAACUUUUGAUCCUUUAUUAAAGAUAAAAAGAUUAAGUUACCUUAGGGAUAACAGCGUUAUUAUUUUAGAGAGUUCAUAUCGAUAAAAUAGUUUGCGACCUCGAUGUUGGAUUAAAAUAAGUUUCAGGAGCAGAAAAUUGAUUACUAGGUC
rnacentral:rRNA from 1 species